rnacentral:tRNA from 1 species
GCAUUAAUGGGGUAGUGGUAACCUGGGUCGUUGCCAUGCAAGCGAUCGAGCAACGCUCGACCCGCCGGGGGUUCGAUUCCCUCUUAAUGCA